UACGUAGGGGGCAAGCGUUGUCCGGAAUCAUUGGGCGUAAAGAGCGUGUAGGCGGCUCGGUAAGUCCGCUGUGAAAGUCCAGGGCUCAACCCUGGAAUGCCGGUGGAAACUGUCGAGCUAGAGUCCGGAAGAGGCGAGUGGAAUUCCUGGUGUAGCGGUGAAAUGCGCAGAUAUCAGGAGGAACACCAAUGGCGAAGGCAGCUCGCUGGGCCGACACUGACACUGAGAGACGAAAGCUAGGGGAGCAAAUGGG
rnacentral:rRNA from 1 species